rnacentral:tRNA from 1 species
UCCCAGGUGGUCCAAUGAUUAGGACUGCACUCUCACUGCUGUGGGCCUGGGUUCAAUCCCUGGUCAGGGAA